UGAAAGGCGAAACGUAAUGUGAAUCGCAACUAACAGUGAAUCAUCGAAUCUUUGAACGCAGGCCGCACCUUGCAACAUCACUCUGUGUUGUUACAAGGUAUUCAUGUAUGAGUGUCAGCCCAAUAUCAUUUAUUGGUUCAAGAAGAUGUUCAUUUCUUUUUUUUUCUAAAGGAAUUGAUUCAAAUUCUUGGAUACAUAUUUUUAUGGAAACAUAUAGUAUGUCUGGCCUCAUAUAUGAAAGAUUACCCGCUGGAUUUAA
rnacentral:misc_RNA from 1 species